UCUCCGUAGGUGAACCUGCGGAGGGAUCAUUACAGAGUUCUCGCCCUCGCGGGUAGAUCUCCCACCCACUGUUAUCGUUACUGUGUUGCUUCGGCGGGCCGCCGGGCCCCGCUCGGCCGCCGGCUCCGGCUGGCGCGCGCCCGCUAGAGGCCCAGCAAACUCUGAAUGUUAGUGUCGUCUGAGUACUAUAUAAUAGUUAAAACUUUCAACAACGGAUCUCUUGGUUCUG
rnacentral:misc_RNA from 1 species